GGAGGCGUAGCUCAGAUGGGAGAGUGCAGUGUUUGUAACGCCCAGCAUUAGGGAACCUGGCUUUUUACAAGAAUAGAGCGCUUACAACGCUGAGGGCGUGGGUUCAACUCCCACCGUCUCCACCA
rnacentral:tRNA from 1 species